GUGGGGAAUUUUGGACAAUGGGCGCAAGCCUGAUCCAGCAAUGCCGCGUGCAGGAAGAAGGCGCUACGCGUUGUAAACUGCUUUUAACCGGGAAGAAACCCCAGGACGUGUCCUGGGUUGACGGUACCGGAGGAAUAAGCACCGGCUAACUUCGUGCCAGCAGCCGCGGUAAUACGAAGGGUGCAAGCGUUAUCCGGAUUCAUUGGGUUUAAAGGGUGCGUAGGCGGAGCGUUAAGUCAGUGGUGAAAUCCUGCAGCUUAACUGUAGACUUGCCAUUGAUACUGGCGCUCUUGAGUGCGCUUGAAGUGGGCGGAAUGUGCCGUGUAGCGGUGAAAUGCUUAGAUAUGGCACAGAACACCAAUUGCGAAGGCAGCUCACUAAGGCGAUACUGACGCUGAGGCACGAAAGCGUGGGGAUCGAACAGGAUUAGAUACCCGGGUAGUCC
rnacentral:rRNA from 1 species